AGCGACAUGAAUUUUAUGUGUGGUAAUUUCUGCUCAAUGAAUUAUAAAUAGCCGCAGUACCCUGACUGUGCAAAGGUAGCAUAAUCAAUUGGCUUAUAAUUGAAGUCUAGAAUGAAAGAACACACAGGUAACUGCUGUCUUAUAGAGUGCUUUUGAACUUACUUAUUGAGUGAAAAUGCUCAUAUGUAAAUGUUAGACGAGAAGACCCUAGAAAUUUGUGUAUUGUUUUGUUGGGGCGACAGAGUAACUAAACUUGCUUUAUUGUAUGAGAAGUAUAUGUGCAGGAAAAUGAAAUUACUCUAGGGAUAACAGCAUAAUUUACAAAAGUUUGUGACCUCGAUGUUGGACUAGGAAAUUAAUACCCAAAAGGUUUAUAAUAUUGCUCUGUUCGAGCAAAGACUCCU
rnacentral:rRNA from 1 species